AUGAGAAAUCUAGACCACAAGCAGUCUGACUCAGAAGUGAAGACAUUGGGGAGCAUCAAUCACAAGAACAUGAUCAAGCUGCUUUGCAGCAUCUCCAGCCAAGAUGUCGAGCUGCUUGUUUACAAACACAUGGAGAAGGACAGCCUCAACAACUGGAUGCACCACCGUGAAUGCACGGGUGCCCCUUCACCAUUGCACUGGCCGACAAGGCUGACCAUCGUUAUCGAUGCAUCCAGGGGCCUCAACUACAUCCACAAAGAGUGCAGACGGGCUAUUAUCCACCGGGACAUCAAGUCAGACAAUAUUUUGCUUGACCCAGAGUUCCAUGCCAAGAUCACCGACUAUGGGCUCGAAUGGUUGUCAGCCCACGCCAGUCCCACCACAGGUCAGCCAUUUUUUGGGACACACGGGUACAUGGCCCCUGAUGACAAUCUCAAAUCCAGCAAGGCGUCUCAAACAUUUCUGUUGAAUGCUAACUGGAUGCAAAUUUUGCAUAAUACUAAUAGUACAAUGGAGGGGCGUACUAGAAGAUUGACAUCUACAGUUUUGGUGUCAUUCUGCUAG
rnacentral:rRNA from 1 species